rnacentral:rRNA from 1 species
UACGGAGGGUGCAAACGUUGCUCGGAAUCAUUGGGCGUAAAGCGCACGUAGGCGGCCCGUUAAGUCGGGUGUGAAAACUCGAGGCUCAACCUCGAGACGUCGGUUGAAACCGUUUGGCUAGAGUCCGGAAGAGGAGAGUGGAAUUCCCGGUGUAGCGGUGAAAUGCGCAGAUAUCGGGAAGAACACCCGUGGCGAAGGCGGCUCUCUGGGACGGUACUGACGCUGAGACGCGAAAGCGUGGGGAGCGAACAGG